AGGCAGGGUAGGGGCUCUUUCGCCCCGCCUCCUUAUGAUGCCCUUUUCGUGGGAGCCAAUGGAAACUCAAAGUUGAGUUGCGUCACUUGUGCUAGCAUCUCCUGGCAAGAUUCUUUCUGAACCGCUAGCUCGUCUGUCCAGGGUCUUGGAGCCACCCCUAGUGAUAGGAGGGCAGCUAUUGGUGGACGCAGGUGGCGAGGCGCUUGGAGCUCCUGGCUCAGUAUGCGGCGCAGUGAUGGCCUUUUGCGCCGGGCUCUGGGUCUCCAACCCGAGGUCGGCGCACGGUCUGGGGGCCGACUGUGAAGAAUCUCAGCUGCGGACUUGCUGUCAGAAUACGCGGGUCUAGGUACCACCUACCCAGGCUCGGAGGCCCCAUAUCUGGGUCAUGCAAAAUCAGCGUGAUAAUAGCUACUUCAGGAAGCUGUUAAGAUCAAAGAAGAUCAUUAGCUGUGCUCGCCCCUUCUUCCUGGAUUACAGUAGCCCUUCCCUCUAUGUUUCAUUCUUGAAAAUAAUAGUUUACAUGUAUAAUCUCCUCAUCCUUUUGUGAGCUUGCAAAUCUAUCCCUACUUCCUAUUGCCUACAGGAAAUUGUAGAUUCACAGUAUAUGUUGAAUGAGUGUUCUCUGUAUCAUAAUUAAAUAAAAUGUUAAGAAUUGGAGUCCAGUUUUCUAUCAGCCCUACAAUAAUUAAACUUAUCCAGAAAUGUAAAA